UCCUCCCACGAGCAAGGGGCUGACAGAGUA
rnacentral:piRNA from 1 species